UUACCAGGGUUUGACAUGUAUCUGCAGUCUCCUGGAAACAGGGGAGGCCUUCGAGGGUGAUACACAGGUGUUGCAUGGCCGUCGUCAGCUCGUGUCGUGAGAUGUAGGGUUAAGUCCCGUAACGAGCGCAACCCCUAUCCUAUGUUACGAGUGUCUUAGGAAACCGCCUCGGUAAAACGGGGAGGAAGGUGGGGAUGACGUCUGGUCCGCAUGGCCCUUAUGUCCUGGGCGACACACGCGCUACAAUGGUCGGUACAAUGGGCAGCCAAGCCGUAAGGCGGAGCUAAUCCUAAAAACCGAUCUCAGUUCAGAUUGAGGUCUGAAACUCGACCUCAUGAAGUCGGAUUUGCUAGUAAUCGCACAUCAGCCAUGGUGCGGUGAAUACGUUCUCGGGAGUUGCACACACCGCCCGUCACGUCAUGGGAGUAGGUGAUACCCGAAGGUGUUCCGUCCGUAAGGAUGGAAUGACGAAGGUAACGCUUAUGACUGGGAUGAAGUCGUAACAAGGUAGCC
rnacentral:rRNA from 1 species